UACAGAGGGUGCAAGCGUUGUUCGGAAUUAUUGGGCGUAAAGGGCGCGUAGGCGGUGCUAUAAGUCAGUGGUGAAAUACGGCAGCUCAACUGUCGAGGUGCCAUUGAUACUGCGGAACUUGAGUGUUGAUGAGGCAGGCGGAAUUGACGGUGUAGCGGUGAAAUGCUUAGAUAUCGUCAAGAACACCGAUAGCGAAGGCAGCUUGCCAAGCAACAACUGACGCUCAGGCACGAAAGUGCGGGGAUCAAACAGG
rnacentral:rRNA from 1 species